rnacentral:rRNA from 1 species
UACGAAGGGGGCUAGCGUUGUUCGGAAUUACUGGGCGUAAAGCGCGCGCAGGCGGUUCUUCAAGUCAGAGGUGAAAGCCCAGAGCUCAACUCUGGAAUGGCCUUUGAGACUAGAGAACUAGGGUACGGGAGAGGUGAGUGGAAUUCCGAGUGUAGAGGUGAAAUUCGUAGAUAUUCGGAAGAACACCAGUGGCGAAGGCGGCUCACUGGCCCGUUACCGACGCUCAGGCGCGACAGCGUGGGGAGUAAACAGG